rnacentral:rRNA from 1 species
ACAGAGGGUGCGAGCGUUAAUCGGAAUUACUGGGCGUAAAGCGCACGUAGGUGGUUUUGUAAGUCGGAUGUGAAAUCCCCGGGCUCAACCCGGGAACUGCAUUCGAGACUGCAUUACUCGAGUAUGGGAGAGGGAAGCGGAAUUUCCGGUGUAGCGGUGAAAUGCGUAGAUAUCGGAAGGAACACCGGUGGCGAAGGCGGGUCUCUGGGCAUCUCCUGACGCUGAGGCGCGAAAGCGUGGGGAGCAAACGGGA